GUGAUCCUACGGGGGGCAGCAGUGGGGGAUAUUGCACAAUGGGGGAAACCCUGAUGCAGCGACGCCGCGUGGGUGAAGAAGCGCCUCGGCGCGUAAAGCCCUGUCAGCAGGGAAGAAAAUGACGGUACCUGAAGAAGAAGCCCCGGCUAACUACGUGCCAGCAGCCGCGGUAAUACGUAGGGGGCAAGCGUUAUCCGGAUUUACUGGGUGUAAAGGGGGCGCAGACGGCGAUGCAAGCAAGGAGUGAAAGAGCGG
rnacentral:rRNA from 1 species